CACACAGCAAGCCCACACACAGACUUGACAGUCCUGGGAAGUGCUCCCCCGCUGUCCUCACACUUUCCUUUGAAGCUGAUCAAGAUGGAGGAUGGACAGGAGACAUUUGGUGAAAGUUCCAGCAACUUAAAUGAAAAGAGAAAUAAUUUUUGUUGUCCUUCUCAGCCUACCUCACAUUGAGCAUUACAGUGUAAAUUACAGUGUUGGGUAAUGAUGUUGAGAAACAUCUUAACAUCCAAAUUUUAUGGAGCUUGCAUUGAUACACACUGCUUUCAAUGCAAGAAGAAAGUUCUCUAAACAAUAUUACACAUUGUGCUGUAGAGAAGCUUUGGAUAGCUACUCUGCUAAACUUUGUUUGCAAAUGCAAAGGUUUUAAGUUUGAGGAUUUAGAGACUUCCAGAUGUUGAUGAGUCAUCAGCUCCUGUAACAGCUCAUCAUUAGUCAGGCUGGCUAUAGUUGAUUGGAAAUCAACAACAUCUGGAAGGCUAAAGGUUCCCUUGACCUGAUUUAAAGCCAUAAGCUGUCCUAUAAGUAACAACAUGAUAUUUCUGAACUCCAUGCAUAGUAAUUAAUCAUUCUGCUGAUGGAAAGCAUGAGAAAAGAACAUUACAUUGCCCCCUGGUUACAUCUUGCCAUUGCUCAGAAGAGGGGAAAUUGAUAGAAACAUUUAUAAAACCUUGCAAAAUUAGCUACUCUCCUUGACUUGUGAGUCUAUCAUUUACACAAAAAGGAAAUCAGAUAGCAGAAAUUACAGAAGAAAAAUGAUAAAAAUGUAAUGUGCAACAUUUGUGUAGCCAUUCUUCUAAACCAAAUCCACUAUUUAAAUGCUAUCAUUUGCAAGUCAAAGCAUUUGUUUAUGUCUCUUAUUUUUCUUCACUCUUUUAAACUAAGAAAUGUGAACUUGCUGGCAUUAUAGCAUUACUCUGCACAAAACUUCCACACUUGGGUUCGUUCAUCGUUGCCAACAAAAUAAUUUAAUAUAUGUAGGCCAUUAGAAUAGGGAUAAGUGCUGUGUGGGAGAAAUAAUAUUUGCUUCACUGUCAUGGGCAUGUGCUGAAUUAAAAACAUUACUCUGGCCAAAGGUAACACAUUCCAUGACUGCUGCUUCUUCGACAGAUGUAUAAAAAUCUGUGCAAUAAACAAAUAAUGAAUAAUAUAUUGAACACAAUCAGAAACAAGCAUGUUUAAAACCUAUUGACUUCAUGGAAAUGAAAAUGACAAUAUAAUGAUGAGGAAAAAAAAUGUAAAACCUCAGUGAUGUGUUAUUUUAUGUAUUCUUCAAAUCAACAUUAACUUCAGCUACCAAACAGCAAUAUUUCAAUGCUGGAAUUUUAAAUACCAGGUAAAUCAGUAUUAUUUUUAUUUUUCUAAGAGAACAAUGAAAGUAAAUGUGGUGCAGUGGCUUGAAUGUUGAACUGGACUCUGGAGAAAAGGAUUUGAAUGACAACUCAUCUAUGGAAACCCAUUUGAGCAAGUCACAAUCUCGCACACAGGCAAAAGCAAAUCCCGUCUGAAAAAAAUUGCAAAGAAAACUCCAUGAUAGCUUCAUUUUUGGAUUGCUGCAAGUCAGAAAUGACUUGAAGGUAAACAUCAUCAUCAACAACAAUAGAACAAUCCUUUCCAUGCCUACUCAUAUGUAGUCCCAUUUAAUUCAGUGGGGUAUACUUCUUGGUAAGGAGGACUGCAGUCUGAAACAAUAUCAGAAGAAAUCAGGGGACUGGUCUCUUGUAGUAAAACAACACAGAGUUUUCAGGCACCUUAAAAUAAUCAAAAGACAAUGCAAACAGUGUUGCUGGCAUAUCAUAGCGUAAGCUUUUGGUAAUGAAAGUGACAGUAGGUGUAAAGAGGACAAUGCCAUAAUACACUUCCUCAUUUCUAAAAUAGCUAUUCUUAUUUAAGAGUUUAGUGGUGGGAGCGGAUUACGUGAAAAAAAACCCAGAAAUUUUAUAACAGAGGUGUGUCAGAUUCUGUUUCUAUGUUGACACCUCUGUUCUAACCCUAGGAUAGCAACAACAAGGAAGCCACUGCUUUUCUGUAACUUGUUGAUUCACCUUGUUGGAUGACAAAGAAGGCAUAUAGGUACACUGUGGGUCCUGUUCAUAGUAGCACAGCACUACUAAGAGGACUUCCUGCAGGGAGUUUAUCAUGCAAGGCAGGUAAGCUGCAAUCACAGGACGACAGUGGCUUUGCCUUGAACUUAUCACAUGAUACUGCUCCUGCCACACUGCGCUCCCAGUGGGAGUCUGUUGGAAGGCAUUUCUUUUACAAAAGAGGUCAUUAACAGAUUAUUUGUGUUUGUAAAAUAAACGCUUUCCAGGCUGCUUCCCACUGAGACAGUGGCGGGAAAGGGAGGAUGUUAUAUGGUGAGUUCAAGGCAAAGAUGCUAUUGUCCUGCUGCAAUUGUGAUUUUUCUGCCUCAUAUGAUAAACUCCCAAGUGAAGGAAACAGCAGCAGCAACAGGCAGCUGAGAAAUCCAAUAUGAAGAGGGAGUGAUUCAUAGGCUUUUCUUCUGUGAGUUGGCCCUGAGCUGUUUGAACUUGUAUGAUGGCAUAAAGAUGUAGGGCUUUGACUCAGAGAGCCAUAUCUUUUCAAGGCAAUGUGCUCCAGCCUCCAGCCAGCACUAAUGAUCCUAGAAAUAAAAAGGUUCAUCUCUGGAGAGAUAGAAGUGACCUGUAUCUGUUCUUUCCUUUGGAGGAAACACAAAGCCAUUCAUCUAUUUCAGUUUUGCACAUAAGAAUGUUAGGCAAAACAAAAAUUCAGCAUACUAAGUGUGGAUUAUCUUAAGUUAAGAAUAGCCCGUUUGUGAGAAAACAUCAUUUCUUGGGUACAGUAAUAAACACAUAUUUGUUGUCAUUAGUUGAAUGACUUUUUAAUGGAUUCGGCUAUGGCUUGUAUCUGAUAAUCAGACUGCUAUCAAAUCUUUCCUACCAAAUGUUAAUUUAAAGAGCAUGUUUGUAUUUAGAAUAAAAUAUUAUAUCUUCCCUCAAAAUAGGGGAAUGGUGAGAAAGAAAUGAAAUUUGCCUCUGCAAUAAAUUAAGAGUCCUUUUUGUUAGUUUUUAUGUCAGAUUUUUAUCAGUUUGAGAAAUAGCCUCUUUGCUUUUUUUUUUUUAAGGAAGUUGCAAAAGGCUUGAUUAUCCUUUGCAGAAACACUUUCCUUUCCAUUUCUUUAUGGAUUACUACUGAAGACUGAGCUGGACAUUUUGGGUAAUUUCAGAACUUGGGAAAGUUCCUUUUUUGGACGGCAACUCCUAGAUCUUCCCAGCAGAAAGGGAAAUUCUGAAAAUUGUUGCACAAAAGGUUAUUUUCCCCAAGCUCCGGUAAAUAUGAUUUUGUAUUUAACAGUUGCUUGUCUUUGUGUGAGUAGGUGUGAUUAACACUUUUUUCCGCUGCUUUCUUUUGGCACUUGUCUGUCACCAAGACUGAAGCACAGAAGGGUCAGAAGCAAUGGUUCCCAACCUUUGGCCCUCCUGGUGUUUUAUACUUCAACUUCCAGAAAUCCCAGCCAUCUUACCAGCUUUUAGGAAUUAUGGAAGCUGAAGUCCAAAACACCUGGAGGACCAAAGGUUGUGAACCACUGGUUUACAGCCCUCCUGCAUACUUGCUGUGAUCAGAUAAUUUUCACAUGAGAAUACAUGUAUUUGCAUUUUUUAAAUUACCCUGCAUGUUAAAUGCAGUAAUUCAUUUUCUAUCCAAUCUGGUUUGGCUUUGAGUUGCUACGUAGUGGCCACACAGAGCAUUAUCAAUGAAACGAAGCCUAAGCAGUUGACUGCAUGAAUAUUUCUAUACUGCCCUUCAUCCUCUUUGAGAGUCUAAGUGGGCAUUUAGUCAGUUGUAAUAAGAACCAACCAUGAAAUCAUUGAAACACUAAAAUUGCAUACAAAUUAAAACAGGUUUAAAUGCCUGGAGUAAUUGGGAAAUUUUGGUGUCCCACGGAUGAUAAUAUAAGCAUUUAGUGAGUCUCUAGGUGCCUAUAUUAUCAUCUGUGGGCCAUUUUGCAGCUAGAGUUAUAUUACUAAGAGGCAUAAGCCCUAUAAAGCAACACACAAAAAAGGAAAUGUGUUUGCUCUGUUUCGCUACCUCUAGUCCCAUUGCUCUCUGUACAAGGAUGUUCUUUGUGCAAUAAGGAAUCUCUCCUUUAAACAAUUAGGGUCUCCAAUUGCAUGAAGAGCAGGCCUAUGUAAAAAGGAGCUCUCCUAUGGCUCACCAUGUGAGGAAAGUAAUAUCCCCUUGUCAACUAGUAGAUUGUAAAAGUUGUCAUCUGAAAAAGUGACGUUUCAGAACUAUAGUAGGAUGAAGUGGGAUCUACUCCAUUGCAGCUUCAGCAAACUGAUCUCAUAUUAUGGCAGAAAUGACUCAACUCAGAUGAAGUAACAUGAUCAUCUGAGGCAGCAGAUAUCAGGAAAUGGUGGCAAGUCUUGCUUUAAUUUUUAUUGGUCUGAUUUUUCGAUGAAUGGAGGUAGGAAGAUAUGCUCAAGAGUUUUUCUGUGUCAUGUGCUAAAAUAACAUGGUUGGAUUGGACUACUGUACAUCUUGAUUGGGAUGGGUAGAGAUAUUCUGUUUACUGUUCUGACUGAAGCCCUGUCUACACUUCUAUAUGUAUAUGACAGUGUAGAUGGAGCCUCAGAAAGUAAAAUGCCUUGGUUCAGACUUGUGGUGUAAACAGGAUGUAUACAGUUUGUGCAUAGACUUGAACAUAAGUUUUUGCUGUGCCCUCUUCUAAAAAGAAGGAAGGAAACAACAAUAGCAACAACCAACAACAAUACAAUUCUCAAUCUAUUGGCUUCAACUCUAUACAAUUCUAUACAUGCUUCCUUAAGACUAGAUUUGUUGGGAGUUGCUGCUGUUGUUAUACACCUUCCAAUAAAUCCCAAUUUUUGGUGACUCUCCCAAACAGUUUUCCCAGGAUGGUUUAUUCUGAGCUCAUUUGCCUUUCUCUUAGGAAAGCACUUGCCUUACCCAAGGUAAUCUAGUGAGUCUCCAUGGAUGAGUGGGGAUUCAACUCUGGUCUCCCAGAGUCCUUUUCCAAUAAUCUGUGCUGGCUUUUCUCUUGGUGAACAUUACCUUCAAGUAAAUGUGCCGGACUGAGAUGGUUGACUUUUCUGGCGUCGAGAGUACAAUAACCCAUUUUUCUAUAGCAAAAUUAUAGAAAGCUUGCUAUGGAAAAGCCUGCCGUAAAAACCUACUUUCCUUACCUUGGCCUGUUUUCCUAAUUCACAGGGAGAAUUUAAAUGCUUUGUUAUUUUCCCGAGAAAAAUCUCAGUGGGCAUGAUAUCAAUUUCACCAACACAACCACCAUCCUGCCAAGCUUCCAAACACAUAUAACUUGUUAAGACUGACAUUCAUAUUACACACCCAGCGGACUGAUUGACUCUCCGUGUUUACACAGCAGAGGUAGAUCAACAGCUCUAAGAUGGAUUGCUUCUCAUUACAAAUUCAGGAUGUUCAAUUAAAGUGUAUUAAUGCAACACACUGGAAUGUAGGUUCUCUUUACUUCAGGCUUGGUUUUAGACAUAACAUUUGAAUCCCUAGGAUGUUUACAUUGUUAUUUUUUUACACAGUAAAGUUCUUUGCAGGGAUCCUGAUGUUAAUGUCUUAUAACUAUUAUUGCAAUGACGAAUCUGGAUGCAUUGUGUGUUAUAUGGAGCCCUGGGUACUGAGCAGAAUUACGGAGGCAGUAGUGUUUUGAAUUGAUCAUAUUUGGCUGCCAAAAAUGAUAUGUAUUUUAGAUAUAUUGUGUUUUCCCUUUUGCUGCAGAUGUAGUAGAAGCUGUGACAGAAGCAGAAAAUAUUGCUUGCUAAACGCCCUGAGUGCUAAUACCUCAAGCUUAUAUUUUAAUUACUGCAUUAAAAUACUAGGAUUUUGAUGAGCAGCAAAAAAAGGGGGGGGGAGGGAGAAGCAUUGCCCUGGAAAAAAAUGUCUUGGUGGUGAGCCAUCUGUUCCUCAUUCCGCAGAUAUAUUUUCAUUAGUGGUCCUGUACAGAAGGUUUAGUGCAUUAUCAUAUGAUGAGACAUAUUAAAACAAUAAAUAAUUCCUGCACCAUGCAGCUUAAAAUUAAAAGGCCAUUGUGACAAUACAAACUGAUUGAUAACAGUAUAUUUCCAGGCUAAAUAUAGCUUUCAGGGGGUGGGGUAUGAAGCAAUUUCGGGACAAGUAAUAGAUGGGGUGUCGUUAGAUGAUUUAUCAGAAACUGUGAAUCAAUGCUAUUCUGUGCUUGUGAUAGCUUUUCUUUUCUUUCUUUUUUAAUGAACAGUGAAUCUCAGAAACAGAUAAAACUGUCUUGCUACUAGAAUGUCUUUCUCUUUUACAAAACUCCUCACUAACUUUUAGCCUCUUACCAUGUAUUUGAUAGGAGUCAUAUCCUAAUAGCAGCAUAUAUCCUAUGGCUUUCUUGUACUACAAAUCUGUGCCAUAUUAAUAUAGAACAGUGGUUCUCAACCUGUGGGUCCCCAGAUGUUUUGGCCUUCAACUCCCAUAAAUCCUAACAGCUGGUAAACUGGCUGGGAUUUCUGGGAGUUGUAGGCCAAAACACCUGGGGAUGCUCACAUUGAGAACCACUGAUCUAGAAUAAAGUAAUAAAUAUGAAACAUAGUUCAAUGGAGACAGUAUGCAUGGGAAGCCAAUGUUUUGUCUCCUCAGCACUGUUAUGGAAACAGCUUGGGGAUACCUAUACAACAAACCUAAAAAACCAAAAUGACUUCUCCUGGUUCCUUAGAUGGAUUACAACCCUCUUGCAAAGAAUGCUAUCAUGCAAAAUUUAUACAUGCCUACUCAGAGCCCAGACAGGCCAUUUUCCUUCCUCUGCAUUGCCUCCCUGUUCCUCCUUUCCCAUCUGUAAUCAUCAUCAGCAUUGGUCAACUGUAUGGUUAACAGCUGCCAGAAAGGAAACUUUGAAUAAGGUAUAAAGGGCCUUUGAAUCCCACCCAAAAAUGAUGUGCAUAUGACACUAGCAGGAUUCCAGCUUUCUCAAUCAGUACAUAAUCAAUACAUAGACAGCUUCUCACUCAGAAACUUCAGCAGCAUUGUAAUAGAAAUGUAAUUGUGUCCAUGAUAAUAAACAAGCUGAACAAGGUAUUUUCUGAGUAGUGCUCUGAAAGGUAAAAGAAAUGUAUUCUAUUGUAUCUGCACAGAAAUGGAUUUACGCAUCUGCAUUACAAAUAAGCAAUAAAUGUUCCUCAUCAGCUAGCUAAAAGAAAAUCUUGUCCAAUUACAAAUUUGUCCUACACCAAACCAAUGCAAGGAUGUAAUUCCAGAUACCCUAUGUUCUUGGUAAAAUCAUGAAAGAAGGAUGAGGCUCAUCAACAUACUCUAAAUGUGUUGUUUGUAGGAUUCCCAGAGUGCAUUUUCAUGACAGAGUUAUAAAACCAUAACGGUCAUAUUUGCCGCUGGAGAAGUACUUAAAAUGUUGUUCCAUUUCCUGAACCACAAAGAAUUUUGCCAAAAUAUAGAUUGCAAGAUUCUAAUUUAUAGGUUGGAGCCAUGGGUCUUAAAGUGGUAUUAACCUACUCUAACUGUGCACUAUAGAUACAUUCCUGGAAAGGAAUGAAAAGCAUCCAUUAUCAUGCUUGAAAAUGCAUAGCCAUGUAUGCUUGUGGUAUUCUCAGAUUUGACCCAUAAAAGUUUAUAACAAUAUUGAUGCUAAGGAGCACAUUGCUUUGUCUCUGUGUUUUAUUACACAAAUACAUUUUUUUUUCAUGUCAGGAGCGACUUGAGACACUGCAAGUUGCUUCUGGUGUGAGAGAAUUGGUCGUCUGCAAGGACAUUGCCCAGGGGACACCUGGAUGUUUUGAUGUUUUACCAUCCUUGUGGGAGGCUUCUCUCAUGUCCCCACAUGUGGAGCUGGAGCUGACAAAGGGAUCUCAACCUGCUCUCCCCAGAUGCAAACCUCUGACCUAUUGGUGUUCAGUGCUGCCAGCACAAGGGUUUAACCCAUUGAGCCACCAGGGGCUCCACAAAUACAAUUGAAAUGCCAAGAAAUGCCCAGUUGGCAUAACUUAAAAAAAAACCCUAUGGUUGCCAUCUAUAUAAAAAUAACUGAUGAAAGCCUAGAAAAACAUCAAAAAGGAAAAUCAUACUUCUACAAGUUCAUUGUAUCUCUUGACCUAAUUUUUAACCUAAUAUCGGUUUCAAAAUACUGCAGCAGAUUUUAAAUGGGCAUUGGCCCUUUUUAUUCACCAUCAAAAUCUAGAACAUUUCCCCCUUUAAUAUCUCCUUCUGAGGCCAGACAAUGUCACUCCAUGAACUUAAUGUAAGGCAAUGGAGCCAAGCCAAUUUACACCUUUGAAUGAAUUGGCUGAAUAACUUCCAGAAAGAAAAGAUAUGUAGUAGCUAGUGAUAAUAUGGUGUUGAUGCCUCUCAGUGAAUAUCAAGUUUCAUGUUACUAAUCUUCAGGCUAAUGCCCAAAGAAUGACACUUUUUGACUAUUUCAAGGAUGCUUACCCUUCAUUAUAAACUUCUGCUUUACUUCCAGAGAAUGUCGAGCUUAAUUACUUAUCUUUUUUCAAUAUCUUUGUUAGUAAAAAGGAACCAAACAGAGAUAAGAUUGGCAGAAAAACCAAUUUUUCAUUGAAGGAGGAAAGAGGAAACAAUUAAAAUGUGAUAAUAUGGAUCAAGAGGGUUCUUAUCAAGCAGUUUGCUAGUGUACUGCAGCUGUGCGGCUUCUCCUCCAUUCACUCUUUCAGCUCAACAAUUGAAAGUUUUCUAGGCUCCCACUGCAGCACUGGAUAUAUUCUAGAGUUUUCCAUCCCAGAACAGAGUUACCUAACCCUAACUGAUGACUGCAGGGAAAAAGUGAUGGCACCAGUGUCUUGCUUAGAUAGUGGAUCAGGCAAAAUCAAAUUCAAUCUAAUUAUCCAGACUUCCUCAGAGUCACAGGAUACUUUGGAGUUUUCUACAAACUCUGGAGUAUCCUCCAACUUUGCCCAAAGUGGAGAAAAAUCGUUUAAAGCAAAAACUAAACCGGGAUGCUCAUUAGACAUAACUCUGCAUUGUGGAGACAUCCAGCUUUCCAUUCAUGGAUGUACAUUAUGAUUCUUAGAUGCAUUUCUUCCAAAUUGUGUUCUAAAUUAUUCAGACUAUUGGGAAUAGUUUUUAAAAAUGUCCACUUGCUUUCGUUUUUCAUUUUGUUUUAGGUUUUUAAAAAAGUGACUGGCAUUAAAGUCACAUCGGAUUGCUCAAGCAUUUCUACUGAUGAUAACAUAAAAUUUCCAUUAGCAACUUUGACCAUCCUAACUUCAGGGAGAAUGGCUUUCCUGUGGUUUUCAUUUAUUGUUAGCAGAAACCCUAGUCCAUUGCAAAUCAAAUUUUAUCAUCUCCUGUUUUUUUACUGAACCCCAUAGCUGAAAGAUUUGCAUAUCAUCAUAGUUAAUAUUCUUGCAAACCAGCAAUUAAAAGAAGGGUGAAACAAUGGUACUGUUAAAUGGAUUUUUAAUCUGUUGACUGACUGAACCCAAAGUGUGCUCAACAAUGGCUCUCUUCAUCCUGGAGAGAGGUGUCUAAUAAAGUGCCAAAGGGUUCUGUAUUGAACCCAGUGCUAUUUUAUAAUGACUAGAAUGAUGGAAGCCAGGCUUGCUUAUCAAAUUUGCCAGUAACACAACAUUAGGAAAGGGAGCUAAUACCCAAGAGGACAGGAACAGAAUUCAAAAUGAUCUUAACAUAUUGGAAAUCUGCGCUAAAAUUAACCAAGUGAAUUUUAACAGAAAGAAAUGUAAGUCAUAUAGAUACUAUACUCCUUAUAGUUACAAAGCAGAAUAGAUCUCUCUAUUCUGCCUUAGUCAAACCUCACCUGGAAUACUGUGCAAAAUUCUGGGUGCCGCAAUUCAAAAAGGAUAUUGACAAGCUCGAAUGUAUGCAGAGGAGGGUGACCAAAAAGAUAAAACCAAGGUCUAUCUCUUUUAGAUUUCAAAUCUGUGAUUUCAGUUCCAACAUUGCUCUCAGGCCCCUUCUACACUGCCAUAGAAAAUCCAGAUUAUCUGCUUUGGACUGGAUUAUAUGGCAGUGUAGACUCAUACAAACCAGCUGAAAGUAAAUGUUUUGUGUCAGGAGUAACUUGAGAAAUUGCAAGUUGCUUCUGGUGUGAGAGAAUUGGUCAUCUGCAAGGACAUUGUCCAUGGGACACCUGGAUGUUUUACCAUCCUAUGGGGGGCUCCUCUCAUGUCCCCACAUGGGAAGCUGGAGCUGAGAGAUGGGAGCUCACCCCACUCCCCAGAUUUGAACCAUCAACCUUUCGGUCAGCAGUCCUGCUGGUACAAGGGUUUAACUCAUUGUGCCACGGGGGGCUCCUUAGUUGAAAGCAGAUAAUGUGGAUUAUGUGAUUUGAUUAUCUGGAUUAUAUAGCAGUGAAAAGGGGCUUCCGUCUUUGUCCUUGUCUCUCAUGUUACCUUUUAUUUUAUGGCUUUAUAUUUUAUUUACUAUCUAAACUGGUUUGCAUUUAUUUAAGUAGCACCCACAGUUACGCUAUGGGACAGCAAACAAACAGUGGAAAUAAGAAAGAGUUGACACGUAGGCCUACCUAUACUAACAAUUUCAAGGAAAACCAGGGAGAGAAAAUGUAGAUAUUAAUCAUACCACUUUUCUGUAUUUGAAGUGAUAAUGGGCCACAACUAUGUUCACUUACUUUUCUUUACAUAUGCCUAGGAAAAGAGUUGAAUUGGGUGACAUCCAUCUGUUUAGAAAUUGGGAUUGUGAAUUUGUUAAAAUCUGUCUUGAUCACUUGAUUAAAAAGCUCCCCCCCCCCC